UUACGGUCACAUCACGUUCAAGCACCGGUUUCCGUACAAUCACCGAAGUUAAGCAACGUCGAGCAUACCCAGUACCUAGAUGGGUAACCGCUCGGAAAUACCAGGUUCUGUAAG